rnacentral:rRNA from 1 species
GUCUAUGGCCACACCACCCUGAACGCGCCUGAUCUCGUCUGAUCUCGGAAGCUAAGCAGGGUUGGCCUGGUUAGUAAUGGGAUGGGAGACCGCCUGGAAAUACUGGGUGCUGUAGGCA